rnacentral:rRNA from 1 species
CCUACGGGAGGCAGCAGUGAGGAAUAUUGGUCAAUGGGCGCGAGCCUGAACCAGCCAAGUAGCGUGCAGGAUGACUGCCCUACGGGUUGUAAACUUCUUUUGUACAGGAAUAAAGUGAGGCACGUGUACCUUUUUGUAUGUACUUUAUGAAUAAGGAUCGGCUAACUCCGUGCCAGCAGCCGCGGUAAUACGGAGGAUCCGAGCGUUAUCCGGAUUUAUUGGGUUUAAAGGGUGCGUAGGUGGUUUGUUAAGUUAGUGGUGAAAUUCUGCGGCUCAACCGCAACAUUGCAAUUGAUACUGUCAGUCUAGAGUUUAGUUGCGGUAGGCGGAAUGCAUGGUGUAGCGGUGAAAUGCAUAGAGAUCACAAAGAACACCGAUUGCGAAGGCAGCUUACCAAACUGCCACUGACAUUGAGGCUCGAAAGCGUGGGGAGCAAACAGGAUUAGAUACCCGAGUAGUC